GCCGUAGUGCAAUGGUAGAGCAUUUGCCUUGCAUUGCAAAAGGUCCCAGGUUCAAUUGCUGGCAUCUCUA